rnacentral:rRNA from 1 species
AGAGUUUGAUCCUGGCUCAGGAUGAACGCUAGCGGGAGGCCUAACACAUGCAAGCCGAGCGGUAUAGAUUCUUCGGAAUCUAGAGAGCGGCGUACGGGUGCGGAACACGUGUGCAACCUACCUUUAUCAGGGGGAUAGCCUUUCGAAAGGAAGAUUAAUACCCCAUAAUAUAUUGACUGGCAUCAGUCGAUAUUGAAAACUCCGGUGGAUAGAGAUGGGCACGCGCAAGAUUAGAUAGUUGGUAGGGUAACGGCCUACCAAGUCAGUGAUCUUUAGGGGGCCUGAGAGGGUGAUCCCCCACACUGGUACCGAGACACGGACCAGACUCCUACGGGAGGCAGCAGUGAGGAAUAUUGGACAAUGGGUGAGAGCCUGAUCCAGCCAUCCCGCGUGAAGGACGACGGCCCUAUGGGUUGUAAACUUCUUUUGUAUAGGGAUAAACCUACUCUCGUGAGAGUAGCUGAAGGUACUAUACGAAUAAGCACCGGCUAACUCCGUGCCAGCAGCCGCGGUAAUACGGAGGGUGCAAGCGUUAUCCGGAUUUAUUGGGUUUAAAGGGUCCGUAGGCGGAUCUGUAAGUCAGUGGUGAAAUCUCAUAGCUUAACUAUGAAACUGCCAUUGAUACUGCAGGUCUUGAGUAAAGUAGAAGUGGCUGGAAUAAGUAGUGUAGCGGUGAAAUGCAUAGAUAUUACUUAGAACACCAAUUGCGAAGGCAGGUCACUAUGUUUUAACUGACGCUGAUGGACGAAAGCGUGGGGAGCGAACAGGAUUAGAUACCCUGGUAGUCCACGCCGUAAACGAUGCUAACUCGUUUUUGGGCUUUAGGGUUCAGAGACUAAGCGAAAGUGAUAAGUUAGCCACCUGGGGAGUACGUUCGCAAGAAUGAAACUCAAAGGAAUUGACGGGGGCCCGCACAAGCGGUGGAUUAUGUGGUUUAAUUCGAUGAUACGCGAGGAACCUUACCAAGGCUUAAAUGGGAAUUGACAGGUUUAGAAAUAGACUUUUCUUCGGACAAUUUUCAAGGUGCUGCAUGGUUGUCGUCAGCUCGUGCCGUGAGGUGUUAGGUUAAGUCCUGCAACGAGCGCAACCCCUGUCACUAGUUGCCAUCAUUCAGUUGGGGACUCUAGUGAGACUGCCUACGCAAGUAGAGAGGAAGGUGGGGAUGACGUCAAAUCAUCACGGCCCUUACGCCUUGGGCCACACACGUAAUACAAUGGCCAGUACAGAGGGCAGCUACCAGGCGACUGGAUGCGAAUCUCGAAAGCUGGUCUCAGUUCGGAUUGGAGUCUGCAACUCGACUCUAUGAAGCUGGAAUCGCUAGUAAUCGCAUAUCAGCCAUGAUGCGGUGAAUACGUUCCCGGGCCUUGUACACACCGCCCGUCAAGCCAUGGAAGUUUGGGGUACCUGAAGUCGGUGACCGUAACAGGAGCUGCCUAGGGUAAAACAGGUAACUAGGGCUAAGUCGUAACAAGGUA